UACGUAGGCAGCAAGCGUUGUUCGGAGUUACUGGGCGUACAGGGUGCGUAGGCGGCUUUUUAAGUUUGGUGUGAAAUCUCCCGGCUCAACUGGGAGGGUGCGCCGAAUACUGAGAGGCUAGAGUGUGGGAGAGGAAAGUGGAAUUCCUGGUGUAGCGGUGAAAUGCGUAGAUAUCAGGAGGAACACCGGUGGCGAAGGCGGGUCUCUGGGCCAUUACUGACGCUGAGGCACGAAAGCGUGGGGAGCAAACAGG
rnacentral:rRNA from 1 species